UACGAAGGGGGCUAGCGUUGUUCGGAUUUACUGGGCGUAAAGCGCACGUAGGCGGAUCGAUCAGUCAGGGGUGAAAUCCCAGAGCUCAACUCUGGAACUGCCUUUGAUACUGUCGAUCUGGAGUAUGGAAGAGGUGAGUGGAAUUCCGAGUGUAGAGGUGAAAUUCGUAGAUAUUCGGAGGAACACCGGUGGCGAAGGCGGCUCUCUGGACGGUGACUGACGCUGAGACGCGAAAGCGUGGGGAGCAAACAGG
rnacentral:rRNA from 1 species